rnacentral:misc_RNA from 1 species
GAUGAAGAACGUAGCGAAAUGCGAUAAGUAAUGCGAAUUGCAGAAUUCAGUGAGUCAUCGAAUCUUUGAACGCACAUUGCGCCCGCCAGUAUUCUGGCGGGCAUGCCUGUUCGAGCGUCAUUUCAACCAUCAAGCCCCCGGCUUGUGUUGGGGACCUGCGGCUGCCGCAGGCCCUGAAAACCAGUGGCGGGCUCGCUAGUCACUCCGAGCGUAGUAAUACAUCUCGCUCAGGGCGUGCUGCGGGUUCCGGCCGUUAAAAAGCCUUAUUUACCCAAGGUUGACCUCGGAUCAGGUAGGAAGACCCGCUGAACUUAAGCAUAUCAAUAAGCGGAGGA